rnacentral:misc_RNA from 1 species
AAGUCGUAACAAGGUUUCCGUAGGUGAACCUGCGGAAGGAUCAUUAACGUAUCUCUGACGGCGAGGGGUGCGCCCAGCUCCGUUCCGAAAGGGCGUGCAGCGGGCGAGCCUGAGCCGCUCAACCUUUGCAAACCCACCGUGCACUUUUGUCGGCAGAAGGGCCUUUGCGGGUCCCGAGCCGGGUCACAAACUCCAAGUUUGAUUCGAAUGUGAAGCGGACAUGUGCCGCCUAAACUUUAACAACUUUCAACAACGGAUCUCUUGGCUCUC